ACUGACUUUACAAACAGCUUCACAAUUCAGGACGAAAUGAAAAGAUCAGUAACAAUGGGAAAAGAUGGCUCAAAGUCUUUCUCACUAGGUCCUCAUGGGGAUUCUAGGAUGAUGCAGGGCAUGCUGGGAGAUGCUUUCACCCUGCUUCUCUUGGAACAGGUGCUGCUGGAUAAUGGAGGAGGGACUGGUUUAUCUCAGCCAGAGGCAAAGUUCACAAGAGGCUGACACAUUUUAAGACAAUGGAACAUGACAAACACUGGAGCUCCACAGGGCCGGGUGCCGAGUCCUCUCCUCUAAUCUCUCCACACCCAAGACAACACACCAAACCACUGCACAAAUGUCAUUAUGAAGUUUUUGGAUGACACUACUGUCGUGGGACUAACACGACCUUCUUGCCACCUUCAAAUUCCUGGGCACACACAUCUUCCAGGACCUCACACUGAUGAUGGACCUAACCUCUCUGAUGAAGAAGGCAGCACAGCACCAACCACUAAGGAGUUCCACUGAAAUGUUGCUGUAC